UCUGGUUUAGCAUAUAUAAUGCAAAGGAUUGUAAAUCCUUUUAAGGCUUGAAGAGCCAGUCAGGU
rnacentral:tRNA from 1 species